CCCCUCUCAGGAUCGCGCCUGGAGAAUUUCCAUUACUCUACCAGUCUUGGCUACGAGAGGGAGAGGUAAGCAGAGUCAUACCCAUUCCAUUCCUAGCUUGGCCAGUAGCUAGUGAGUGGAAGGAAAUCUGCUGCAAGU
rfam:Ornithorhynchus anatinus chromosome 3, whole genome shotgun sequence.